UCCGGGUGCUGUGGUGCACACCUGUAGUCCCAGCUACUCGGGAGGCUGAGACAGGAGGAUCGCUUGAGUCCAGGAGUUCUGGGCUGUAGUGUGCUAUGCUGAUCGGGUGUUCACACUAAGUUUGGCAUUAAUAUGGUGACCUCCCAGGAGUGGGGGACCACCGGGUUGCCUAAGGAGGGGAGAACUGGCCCAGGUCAGAAACGGAGCAAGUCAAAACUCCCGUGCUGAUCAAAGACCAGAGUAAAUCUGUCCAGCUCUAACAUCUGAGAGAUCCUAGAUGUCUC
ensembl:misc_RNA Metazoa_SRP Metazoan signal recognition particle RNA